rnacentral:rRNA from 1 species
UACAGAGGGGGCAAGCGUUGUUCGGAAUUACUGGGCGUAAAGGGCGCGUAGACGGCCUUCUAAGUCGAACGUGAAAUCCCCGGGCUCAACCCGGGAACUGCGUCCGAUACCGGAAGGCUUGAAUCCGGGAGAGGGAUGCGGAAUUCCAGGUGUAGCGGUGAAAUGCGUAGAUAUCUGGAGGAACACCGGUGGCGAAGGCGGCAUCCUGGACCGGUAUUGACGCUGAGGCGCGAAAGCCAGGGGAGCAAACGGG